rnacentral:rRNA from 1 species
UACGGAGGGUGCAAGCGUUAUCCGGAAUCACUGGGUUUAAAGGGUGCGUAGGCGGUUCGAUAAGUCAGUUGUGAAAUUCCCCGGCUCAACCGGCGGGACUGCGAUUGAUACUGUCGGACUUGAAUCAGGUUGAGGUAGGCGGAAUGUGACAUGUAGCGGUGAAAUGCUUAGAUAUGUCAUAGAACACCGAUUGCGAAGGCAGCUUGCUAGACCUUCGAUUGACGCUGAGGCACGAAAGCGUGGGGAGCAAACAGG